rnacentral:rRNA from 1 species
CGCCAGACUCCUACGGGAGGCAGCAGUGGGGAAUAUUGCACAAUGGGGGAAACCCUGAUGCAGCGACGCCGCGUGAGCGAUGAAGUAUUUCGGUAUGUAAAGCUCUAUCAGCAGGGAAGAAAAUGACGGUACCUGACUAAGAAGCCCCGGCUAACUACGUGCCAGCAGCCGCGGUAAUACGUAGGGGGCAAGCGUUAUCCGGAUUUACUGGGUGUAAAGGGAGCGUAGACGGCUGUGCAAGCCAGAUGUGAAAGCCCGGGGCUCAACCCCGGGACUGCAUUUGGAACUGUGUGGCUGGAGUGUCGGAGAGGCAGGCGGAAUUCCUAGUGUAGUGGUGAAAUGCGUAGAUAUUAGGAGGAACACCAGUGGCGAAGGCGGCCUGCUGGACGAUGACUGACGUUGAGGCUCGAAAGCGUGGGGAGCAAACAGGAUUAGAUACCCCUGUACUA